rnacentral:rRNA from 1 species
CCUACGGGUGGCAGCAGUGGGGAAUAUUGGACAAUGGGCGCAAGCCUGACCCAGCAACGCCGCGUGAAGGAAGAAGGCUUUCUGGUUGUAAACUUCUUUUGUCAGGGACGAAGCACGUGACGGUACCUGACGAAUACGCCACGGCUAACUACGUGCCAGCAGCCGCGGUAAUACGUAGGUGGCAAGCGUUAUCCGGAUUUACUGGGUGUAAAGGGCGUGUAGGCGGGACUGCAAGUCAGAUGUGAAAACCACGGGCUCAACCUGUGACCUGCAUUUGAAACUGGAGUUCUUGAGUACUGGAGAGGCAGACGGAAUUCGUAGUGUAGCGGUGAAAUGCGUAGAUAUUAGGAGGAACACCAGUGGCGAAGGCGGUCUGCUGGACAGUAACUGACGCUGAGGCGCGAAAGCGUGGGGAGCAAACAGGAUUAGAUACCCCUGUAGUC